AAUCCCGUCUUUGACACGGACUGCCAGGGCUUUGUGAUACACUCUCAAAGAGUCGAGUUGUUUGGGAAUGCAGCUCAAAAUGGGUGGUAAAUUCCAUCUAAAGCUAAAUAUUGGCGAGAGACCGAUAGCGAACAAGUACCGUGAGGGAAAGAUGAAAAGAACUUUGGAAAGAGAGUUAAACAGUACGUGAAAUUGCUGAAAGGGAAACGCUUGAAGUCAGUCGCGUUGACCAGGGAUCAACCUUGCUCUUGCUUGGUGUACUUUCUGGCUGAUGGGUCAGCAUCAAUUUUGACUGUUGGAAAAAGAUCAAGGAAAUGUAGCAUCUUUGGGUAGAUGUGUUAUAGCCUUUGGUUGCAUACAAUGGUUGGGAUUGAAGAACUCAGCACGCCGCAAGGGCGGGUUUUAAACCACGUACGUGCUUAGGAUGUUGGCAUAAUGGCUUUAAUCGACCCGUCUUGAAACACGGACCAAGGAGUCUAACAUGCCUGCGAAUGUUUGCGUGGAAACCCGAGCGCGUAAGAAAGUGAAAGUUGAGAUCCCUGUCGCGGGGAGCAUCGACGCCCGGACCAGACCUUUUGUGACGGUCCCCGGUAGAGCAUGUAUGUUGGGACCCGAAAGAUGGUGUACUAUGCGUGAAUAGGGUGAAGCCAGAGGAAACUCUGGUGGAGGGUCGUAGCGAUUCUGACGUGCAAAUCGAUCGUCAAAUUUGGGUAUAGGGGCGAAAGACUAAUCGAACCAUCUAGUAGCUGGUUCCUGCCGAAGUUCCCUCAGGAUAGCAGAAACUCAUAUCAGAUUUAUGUGGUAAAGCGAAUGAUUAGAGGCGGGGUUGAAACAACCUUAACCUAUUCUCAAACUUUAAAUAUGUAAGAACAAGCCGUCUCUUGACUGGACCGCUUGGCGAUUGAGAGUUUCUAGUGGGCCAUUUUUGGUAAGCAGAACUGGCGAUGCGGGAUGAACCGAACGCGAGGUUAAGGUGCCGGAAUUCACGCUCAUCAGACACCACAAAAGGUGUUAGUUCAUCUAGACAGCAGGACGGUGGCCAUGGAAGUCGGAAUCCCCUAAGGAGUGUGUAACAACU
rnacentral:rRNA from 1 species